CGUAGGUGACCUGCGGAAGGAUCAUUACAGAAUUGUUCGAAUCCAUACGGACACAUUCUUAAAAUCCGUAUCCACACCGGCAGGGCUUUCGGGCCUUUGCCGUAGGGUUCCUCUUUUCUCUUUCUCUGUUAGGGAAAGAGAGGGGGGUUCCUGUCUGACCUUUGCCUAUAAUUUUAAUUUUGUCUGAACUUUUAUUUUAUUAUAAAAUAAAAACAACUUUCAACAACGGAUCUCUUGGCUCUCGCAUCGAUGAAGAACGCAGCGAAAUGCGAUAAGUAAUGUGAAUUGCAGAAUUCAGUGAAUCAUCGAAUCUUUGAACGCACCUUGCGCUCUCUGGUAUUCCGGGGAGCAUGCCUGUUUGAGAAUCGCAAAACAACACAAAUCACAUUCAUUUUUUUGAAUGUGGAGUUGAGCCUUUUUCCCUCUUUCUUGUAGAGAGGGAUGGCUUGAAAUACAGAAGGCCGGUCUGGGUAAAACCAGAUGCCAGGACAGAUUUAAGAGUAAUAAUAGUUAAUGCGUUUUCGCGUUAUCCUUUUGCUCUGUGUCUGCCUUGGUGUGUCGGCCUGACACUUUCUUCUUGAAAAAGAGGGGAGGAAACACUGUAACUUGACGAAGGAGUAUUACUUCUUCCGACUUCUCAGAUCUCAAAUCAGGCAAGAGUACCCGCUGAACUUAAGCAUAUCAAUAAGCGGAGGAAAAGAAACUAACAAGGAUUCCCCUAGUAACGGCGAGCGAAGCGGGAAUAGCUCAAAUUUAAAAGCUGGCGGGUUCCCCGUCCGCAUUGUAGUCUAAAGAAGCGUUUUCGGCGGCUGUCCAGGUAUAAAUCCUUUGGAACAGGGUAUCAUAGAGGGUGAGAAUCCCGUCUUUGACCUGGUACGUGCUGCUAUGUGAUACGUUUUCUAAGAGUCGGGUUGUUUGGGAAUGCAGCCCAAAAUGGGUGGUAAAUUUCAUCUAAGGCUAAAUAUUGGCGAGAGACCGAUAGCGAACAAGUACCGUGAGGGAAAGAUGAAAAGAACUUUGAAAAGAGAGUUAAACAGUACGUGAAAUUGUUGAAAGGGAAACGAUUGAAAUCAGUCAUGUCGGCGGGAAAUCAGCCGGGCCUUCGGGCACGGUGCACUUUUCCGCAGGCAGGCCAGCAGCAGUUUUGGCUGCCGGAAAAGGAUCAGGGGAAUGUGGCUCCAUCUGGAGUGUUAUAGCCCUUGGUUUUUACGGCGGCUGGGACUGAGGAACGCAGCCAACCCUUCUGGGCUGGGUGCUCGCCUGCUGCGCUCCCGGGCUUGGGCGGACAGCUUGCUUUCCGUUCAGGCAUUUGGGGGGCACUCGGGUGAAGCAUCUCACGAUGGCUAAG
rnacentral:rRNA from 1 species